UUGUGGAUUCCACAGAAUACUCGUUUAUUGGUAGCAUUGCAAAUCAAGAAAAUUAUGAUCACAGCCAAAAAUUGGGGCAAGGCCAGAGAAAGGAAAUUUUAAUAUUCACUGGAAGUUGAAAACUACUUUAACAUAUUUGCAGAAGAAAUCUGCACAGAUACAUUCAACUUCAGAGGCCCAGAAUUGGUGCCUCUGGACCCAUUCAUACAAUCUACCUGAAACUCUCUUUGGGGGAAGGUUUCCUUUUAUGACUUUUUGGUUUGCAUAUUUCAUGAUUAAUCCAAAUAGGACAAAGCAAACAUCCAAAUAUUUGGACCCACAUCAAAGAUACUAUUUCUGCAAGGCAUAGGAGUUCACGAUAUCAAAAAAUGAACCCCAGCACCUGAAACUCUCUUAAGGGAAGGUUUGCAUAUGUCAUGAUUAAUCCAAAUAGGUCAACAUCAAAGAUACUAUAUCAAAAAAUAAACCCCAACCAGGUCUUU
rnacentral:lncRNA from 1 species